UGCUUCAUCCUCUUCUUUUCAAUCAUCAUCGUCAUCAAACUCGAUAUACUGCAGAGUGAGAACAUGUGAGUCAAACCUGACAAUAUUUUACCAACAAAAUUAUGCAUGUGCACCCAUUUCAUAAGAAUAUGGGUUGUAUGUCAUAAAAAUAUAUUAUCGAAAAAUUCUUUGAAAUGUGCAUCUAAUGGCAUAUAACUCAUAUUUUGUUGGUAUAAUCAAUUAUCAAAGUUAUUAAAAAAUAUGAAGUGGUCAUUUAUUAGUAGAAGGAUGGAGUAUUUACUUCAAAACUGAGAUGGGGAAUGACCGAAAAGCUUCAUGUUUACCUUUUAUUUAACGCUUAUUUGCAGGAAUCAGUAUGGGGGAUGUGGUGAUUGUUGGAGCAUCUCUUUUUCAGUUUCCCGCGCCAAGACCUAAAGAAAAAAAUGCCGAGUGUGGGGGGCUGACCUUGCUGCUGCAGGCUAGCGUAGAUCGAGGAGGCAGUGGCUGCGGGUUUGUAGUAAGACGUCAGGAGAGGGUGAUGCCUGGGUCAUUGGAUGUCACCCCCAAGCAUCGAUCUCCCCUUCCUGCUUUUGAUUGCCUCCUGAUCUCACAAGAGCGGCUGGAAGGCACACGUGCCGCUAGGCUCAUCUUCCUCGUCGCCCCAUGUAGGAGAUGAAUACAACACCCAUGGCCAGGAUACGCGGACGCGGGCACCGGCUGCCCUACACGCGGGAAGAUGGAUAGUACCAUGCCCCGACCUUGACGGCUCACCAGCGGCUCGGAUCUGGAGCGGAGGCGUCGGCGAGUGAGGAGGCCACGACCAUCGUGGCGUCGGCGGAGACCCAUGGCGUGGGCUGCACAUCAAGACAUCGGCGACAGGGCGGGGGCGCGCUGCAUUGGAGAGGUCGCGCGCGAUUGGACGGGCACUGGUGAGCGUGAGGCCCUGGGUCGAGGAGAUCAGGCGGCGCUCGAAGCCGCCUCCCCGCCAUGGUGGGAGGUGCCAUCUAGAUCGGGGGAAAGAGAGGCGAGGGGAUGGAUGGGAGAAGGUGCGAGGCUAGGGAUCGGAGAGAGGACGGCGGCGGCGACGGGAGGGGAUCGAGAGGAAGGGCGUUCCUCCUGCGGGGUGGUUUUCUUGGGGUGC
rnacentral:lncRNA from 1 species